AGUGAACGCUGGCGGUAGGCCUAACACAUGCGAGUCGAACGGCAGCACAGUAAGAGCUGCUCUUACGGGUGGCGAGUGGCGGACGGGUGAGGAAUACAUCGGAAUCUACUUUUUCGUGGGGGAUAACGUAGGGAAACUUACGCUAAUACCGCAUACGACCUACGGGUGAAAGCAGGGGAUCUUCGGACCUUGCGCGAUUGAAUGAGCCGAUGUCGGAUUAGCUAGUUGGCGGGGUAAAGGCCCACCAAGGCGACGAUCCGUAGCUGGUCUGAGAGGAUGAUCAGCCACACUGGAACUGAGACACGGUCCAGACUCCUACGGGAGGCAGCAGUGGGGAAUAUUGGACAAUGGGCGCAAGCCUGAUCCAGCCAUACCGCGUGGGUGAAGAAGGCCUUCGGGUUGUAAAGCCCUUUUGUUGGGAAAGAAAAGCAGCAGGUUAAUACCCCGCUGUUCUGACGGUACCCAAAGAAUAAGCACCGGCUAACUUCGUG
rnacentral:rRNA from 1 species